UCAGGUUUUUGCAAUAGAAUUUACUGCUUACUUGGAUUUGCAGUCUAAGAAUUUAUAAAACCAG
rnacentral:tRNA from 1 species